GACCAGUGAUGACUACAUCCCAAACCUGAAUGUGCAUUGUGUUGAAAGCACUCCACAGAUCUGGCUACUGAGAU